rnacentral:rRNA from 1 species
AUUGAACGCUGGCGGCAGGCCUAACACAUGCAAGUCGAACGGUAACAGGAAGCAGCUUGCUGCUUUGCUGACGAGUGGCGGACGGGUGAGUAAUGUCUGGGAAACUGCCUGAUGGAGGGGGAUAACUACUGGAAACGGUAGCUAAUACCGCAUAACGUCGCAAGACCAAAGAGGGGGACCUUCGGGCCUCUUGCCAUCGGAUGUGCCCAGAUGGGAUUAGCUAGUAGGUGGGGUAACGGCUCACCUAGGCGACGAUCCCUAGCUGGUCUGAGAGGAUGACCAGCCACACUGGAACUGAGACACGGUCCAGACUCCUACGGGAGGCAGCAGUGGGGAAUAUUGCACAAUGGGCGCAAGACUGAUGCAGCCAUGCCGCGUGUAUGAAGAAGGCCUUCGGGUUGUAAAGUACUUUCAGCGGGGAGGAAGGGAGUAAAGUUAAUACCUUUGCUCAUUGACGUUACCCGCAGAAGAAGCACCGGCUAACUCCGU